GAAAAGCUGAGGUAUUGACGUGCCUCAAUUUGAAGACAUGGUUAGACGACCCAUAGCCAUGUUUUCGGAUUGAGCCGCGUCAAUAUCUCCUCUCUCUCU
rnacentral:pre_miRNA from 1 species